rnacentral:rRNA from 1 species
GAUGAACGCUGGCGGCGUGCCUAAUACGUGCAAGUCGAGCGAACGGACGAGAAGCUUGCUUCUCUGAUGUUAGCGGCGGACGGGUGAGUAACACGUGGAUAACCUACCUAUAAGACUGGGAUAACUUCGGGAAACCGGAGCUAAUACCGGAUGAUAUUUUGAACCGCAUGGUUCAAAAGUGAAAGACGGUCUUGCUGUCACUUAUAGAUGGAUCCGCGCUGCAUUAGCUAGUUGGUAAGUUAACGGCUUACCAAGGCAACGAUGCAUAGCCGACCUGAGAGGGUGAUCGGCCACACUGGAACUGAGACACGGUCCAGACUACUACGGGAGGCAGCAGUAGGGAAUCUUCCGCAAAGGGCGAAAGCCUGACGGAGCAACGCCGCGUGAGUGAUGAAGGUCUUCGGAUCGUAAAACUCUGUUAUUAGGGAAGAACAUAUGUGUAAGUAACUGUGCACAUCUUGACGGUACCUAAUCAGAAAGCCACGGCUAACUACGUG